rnacentral:rRNA from 1 species
UACGUAGGGUGCGAGCGUUGUCCGGAAUUACUGGGCGUAAAGAGCUCGUAGGUGGUUUGUCACGUCGUCUGUGAAAUGUAUCUGCUUAACGGGUACACUGCAGUUGAAACUGGUUUUCUUGAGUGCGUAAGAAGCAGGCGGAAUUCGUUGUGUAGCGGUGAAAUGCUUAGAUAUGACGAGGAACUCCUAUUGCGAAGGCAGCUUGCUGGGUCGUUACUGACGCUGAUGCUCGAAGGUGCGGGGAUCAAACAGGAUUAGAUA